rnacentral:snoRNA from 1 species
AAGUCUUUUACUUUCAGGGAUCAUUUCUAUAGUUCGUUACUAGAGAAGUUUCUCUGAAUGUGUAAAAGUCUGUAAGUGAUUAUAAUAAAGCUGGUAAU